GAUGAACGCUGGCGGCGUGCCUAAUACAUGCAAGUCGAACGAACAGACGAUGAGCUUGCUCCUCUGACGUUAGCGGCAGACGGGUGUGUAACACGUGUAUAACCUACCUAUCAGACUGGGAUAACUUCGGGAAACCGGCGCUAAUACCAGAUAAGAUAUUGAACCGCAGGGUUCAAUGGUGAAAGACGGUUUUGCUGUCACUUAUAGAUGCAUCCGCGCCGCAUUAGCUAGUUGGUCAUGUAACGGCUUACCAAGGCAAGUAUGCGUAUCCGACGGAAGAGGCGGGUCGGCCACACGAGAACUUAGCCACCGUCCAGACUCCUACGGUAGGCACCAGUAGGCAACGUGACGCAGUGGGCGAAAGCAUUACGGAGCAAGGCCGCGCGAGUGAUGAAGGUCUUGCGUUCGUAAAAAUGGCUUAUGAGUUAAGAACCAAUGUGUAAGUAACUAUGCACGUCUUGACGGUACCUAAUCAGAAAGCCCCGGCUAACUACGUG
rnacentral:rRNA from 1 species